rnacentral:rRNA from 1 species
GCGGUGGAUGAUGUGGUUUAAUUCGAUGCAACGCGAAAAACCUUACCCACCUUUGACAUGUACGGAAUUUGCCAGAGAUGGCUUAGUGCUCGAAAGAGAACCGUAACACAGGUGCUGCAUGGCUGUCGUCAGCUCGUGUCGUGAGAUGUUGGGUUAAGUCCCGCAACGAGCGCAACCCUUGUCAUUAGUUGCUACAUUUAGUUGGGCACUCUAAUGAGACUGCCGGUGACAAACCGGAGGAAGGUGGGGAUGACGUCAAGUCCUCAUGGCCCUUAUAGGUGGGGCUACACACGUCAUACAAUGGCCGGUACAAAGGGCUGCCAACCCGCGAGGGGGAGCUAAUCCCAUAAAACCGGUCGUAGUCCGGAUCGCAGUCUGCAACUCGACUGCGUGAAGUCGGAAUCGCUAGUAAUCGUGGAUCAGAAUGUCAUGGUGAAUACGUUCCCGGGUCUUGUACACACCGCCCGUCACACCAUGGGAGCGGGUUCUGCCAGAAGUAGUUAGCCUAACCGCAAGGAGGGCGAUUACCACGGCAGGGUU